CCCUAUAUUGGACAAUUCUAUAAUUAUUUAGAAGAUAUAAUAGCUAAUAUGAGUAACAUGAACAUAUUCUCCUUGCACAAGCAUAAAUAUAGAUCGGAACAACCGCUUACACUUAACCAAACAAAUAACUAUAACCACACACUAGUACCCUACUACAUAUUUGUUAACCCAACCCAAGCGUGCAUAUAAAGGAAAGAUUAAAAGGAAUAAAAGGAACUCGGCAAACAUAAGCCCCGCCUGUUUACCAAAAACAUCACCUCUAGCAUUUACCAGUAUUAGAGGCAAUGCCUGCCUAGUGAGUUAUGACUUUAACAGCCACAGUAUCCUGACUGUGCAAAGGUAGCAUAAUCACUUGUCUCUUAAUUGGGGACUAGUAUGAAUGGCAUCACGAGGGCUCAACUGUCUCUUAUUCCCAAUCAGUGAAAUUGACCUUCCUGUGCAGAGGCGGGAAUACUUAUACAAGACGAGAAGACCCUGUGGAGCUUAAGUCUCAUAACUCAACAAAUACUAACACAUAAUCUACCGGAACAACCCAUAUAAGCCCCUGAGUUAUAGUCUUUGGUUGGGGUGACCUCGGAGCAUAAAAUAACCUCCGAAUGAAUAUAACCCAGAUUAAUGAACACUUAGGUGUAACAAUACCAGUAAUUGACCCAUCUCUUGAUCAACGGAACAAGUUACCCCAGGGAUAACAGCGCAAUCCUGUUUGAGAGCCCAUAUUGAAAAUUAGGGUUUACUAUCUCGAUGUUGGAUCAGGACACCCAAAUGGUGUAACCGCUAUUAAAGGUUCGUUUGUUCAACGAUUAAAGUCCUACGUGAUCUGAGUUCAGAUCGGAGAAAUCCAGGUCAGUUUCUAUCUGUAAAUUCAUUUCUCCCAGUACGAAAGGACAAGAGAAAUAGGGCCAACAUCCCCAAUAAGCCCUAGAACCAACAUAUGAAUCAAUCUAAAUAUACUAAAUCAAUUUAUGUGUCCCCCAAGAACAGGGUUGUUAAGAUGGCAGAGUUGGUAAUUGCAUAAAGUUUAAGCCUU
rnacentral:ncRNA from 1 species